GGCCACUUGACUAGAAGUUUGAAAGACAAAUAAAAUUAAAGACUUUUGACUAGAAUUUUGAAAUACAAAGAAGAAAGACUCUUCAAUUUGCGGACUGGUCAAAGUGACCCUUCGGCUGGUUGAACCGCGGCCAGGAGCAGGACGGUCGCGGGCCGGUCCGUCUGUUCCGUCUUGUCCGUCUCCUGAACCAUCUUCGACCAUAGUCGUCCCAAGUCUUCUGAAAGAAGAAGAAUCUGUGCCUUAGAGAGAUUCGGAUGAUCAAAGUGCAUGAACUGAUCAAAUGGGUCGAUCAGUUCGUCAAUACGGUCGGUACGUUCCAAACGUGCGAGAAGAGAGAAGUCGCGUCCAGUUCCUAGUUCGGCUCGGCCUAAGUUGCUUCUGGUUUGACCGUCAGUCUGAGAUUGGCGAGUUGUCCGAGAGAGAGACGAUCCAGUACAGUCAGUUCGGCUGAUAGGUCGAGGAUCUAGUCUAAGCUCCUUCCCGUCCAUCCGUGGAUCGAUCCGGUACACAGCUCGACCUCGGUUGGGGUGAUGAACCUCGGUUGGAAUGUCCUGACCUUCCUGAUGGUCGAGUUCCUCGGACUGAGGCACAUCAUUCCCCCCCUCUUUAAAAGGAUUUGUCCACAAAUCUGGAUUAUCUGCAAGAAAAGGAGAUAGAUCAGAAACAUUAAAACUUGAAGAGAUUUCAUACUUACCUUCCAAAUCAAGCUGGUAAGCAUUAUCAUUGAUCCUUCUAAGAAUCUGGAAUGGACCGUCGACUCGAGGCAUAAGUUUGGACUUCCUUUCUUCCGGGAAUCGUUCCUUCCUCAAAUGAACCCAAACCAAGUCACCUUCUUGGAAAACCAACUCCUUUCGCUUCUUGUUGGCAUAUCUUUUGUAACCCUCGGUUUUGGUUUCAAUGUUGACUCGAACUUGUUCAUGAAGCUUUUUGAUGGUGUCCGCCCUUCUUUUACCAUCUGUACUAACUCUUUCACUCAAAGGUAAAGGUAAAAGAUCAAGUGGAGAUAAGGGAUUAAAACCAUAAACAACUUCAAAGGAGAGAACUUUGUAGCUGAAUGCAUAGCAUGAUUAUAAGCAAACUCAACAUGUGGCAAACAAUCUUCCCAAGACUUAAGAUUUUUCUUGACCAAAGAUCUAAGCAAAGCAGACAAAGUUCGAUUAACAACUUCGGUUUGACCAUCAGUUUGCAGAUGACAAGUUGUGGAAAACAUCAAUCUCGUUCCUAACUUAGACCACAAAGUUUUCCAAAAAUAACUAAGAAACUUAGCAUCACGAUCAUAAACAAUGGUCUUAGGCAUUCCAUGCAAUCUCACAAUUUCCCUAAAGAACAGAUCAGCAACUUGUACAGCAUCAUCAGUUUUAUGGCACAGAAUAAAGUGAGCCAUUUUCGAAAAUCUAUCGACAACCACAAAGAUAGAGUCUCGGCCAUUCUUAGUUCUAGGCAAUCCAAGAACAAAAUCCAUAGAAAUAUCAAUCCAAGGAUGAGAAGGAAUGGGUAAGGCCGAGUACAAACCGUGAUUGGAUGCUUUGGCUUUGGACUUCUUGCACACCACACAUCGGCCACAAAUUCUCUCUACGUCUUUCAUCAAGCUAGGCCAGUAGAAAUGAUCAUACACGGCCUUGUAUAUCUUCUUGAUUCCAAAGUGUCCCAUAAGACCUCCUCCAUGAGAUUCCCUGAGAAACAACUCCCUCAAAGAACAUUGGGGCACACACAAAUGGUUAUCCUAGAAAAGAAAACCCGAAUUUCGAUAAUACUUGCCAUAAGCCACUCUGGAACACUUGUUGAAAAUUUCUUUAAAAUCCGGAUCAGAAGCAUACAAGUCUUUGAAAAAUUCAAAACCGAGAAGUUUCGUUUCGAGGACUGAAAGAAGAGUAUACCUUCGGGACAAGGCAUCAGCCACAACGUUUUCCUUACCUUACUUGUAUUUGAUGACAUAAGGAAAUGUCUCAAUGAACUCAACCCAGCGGGCAUGCCUCUUGUUCAGCUUCUGUUGCCCCUUAAGGUGUUUCAGGGACUGAUGAUCCGUGUGGAUAACAAACUCCUUAGGCCACAGAUAGUGUUGCCACGUUUGAAGAGCUCUUACCAAAGCAUACAACUCCUGAUCAUAAGUUGGGUAGUUGAGUGUGGCGCCUCCAAGCUUCUCACUGAAGUAAGCAAUAGGCUUUCUAUCCUGCAUCAAAACUGCACCAAUACCAACACCCGAAGCAUCACAUUCGAUCUCAAACGUUUUAGAAAAGUCAGGAAGAACAAGUAAAGGGGCAUUAGUCAACUUCCCUUUAAGGAUUUGGAAGGCUUCUUCCUGAGCUUGUUCCCAUUUGAACCCAACAUUCUUUUUAAUGACUUCGGUCAAUGGGGCCGCUAUGGUACUGAAAUCUUGGACGAACCGUCUAUAGAACCCGGCAAGGCCGUGGAAGCUCCUUACUUCACUCACGUUCGUUGGACUUGGCCAGUCUCGGAUGGCUUUGAUUUUCUCCUUGUCCACUCUAAGUCCUUCAGCACCUACAACAAAACCUAAGAAGACCACAUGAUCUGUGCCAAAAGAACACUUUCCAAGGUUAGCAAACAAAUGUUCCUUUCUAAGAACUUCAAGGACAGAUUUCAAAUGUUUCUUAUGUUCAUCCAUGUUCUUGCUGUAGAUAAGAAUAUCAUCAAAGUAAACUACCACAAAAUGACCAAUGAAUGCUCUCAAGAUAUGGUUCAUCAAUCGCAUGAAAGUGCUAGGUGCAUUAGUAAGACCAAAUGGCAUAACUAACCAUUCAUACAAUCCUAGCUUGGUUUUAAAUGCAGUUUUCCAUUCAUCACCUUCUUUCAUUCGGAUUUGGUGAUAGCCACUUUUCAAAUCUAUCUUAGAAAAGACACAUGAACCGUAAAGUUCAUCAAGCAUGUCGUCUAGUCUAGGAAUGGGAUGCCUAUACUUUACCGUAAUGUUGUUGAUGGCACGGCAGUCCACACACAUGCGCCAUGAUCCAUCCUUUUUGGGGACAAGUAGAACUGGAACGGCACAAGGACUGAGGCUUUCCCUGAUGUAACCUUUCUCCAUAAGGUCUCCAAUUUGUUUCUCAAGUUCCUUGGUCUCCACCGGAUUGGUUCUGUAAGCUGGCCGGUUAGGUAGAGACGCACCCGGAACAAAGUCAAUCUGAUGUUCAAUCCCUCGUACUGGCGGCAAACCCUUUGGGUUUUCAUCUGGAAAGACAUCCGAAUAUUCCUGCAAGACAUCUAGCAAAUCACUCGGAACUUCCGGUGCAAGGUUAGAAGAAGUAGAAGCCAUCAGAGAUUCCUUGUACACAAGUAAAACAAAGGGCUUUUGAGAGUGAAGAGACUUCUUAACCUGACUUUGUUUGACAAAGAAGUUGGAGUUCCGGGUUGAGGACUCAGGUUUGUCUGGUUUGGUCUCUUGAUCACAGUUCUUUUUAAGUUGGAGCUGGUCUUGAUGGACCUCCAAGGGCGAGAGUGGUACAAGCGUGAUCUUCUUUCCUUUAUGGUCAAAGGAGUGCCGGUUUGUGUAACCAUCAUGGACGGUUCUUUUAUCAAACUGCCAUGGACGUCCCAACAGAACGUGACAAGCAUCCAUGGGAAGGACGUUGCACACAAUCUCGUCUUCAUAAUGACCAAUGGUGAGAGGGAUCGUGACUUGCUCCUUAACAUACUGUUCACCAGUUUCAUUGAGCCAUUCCAACCUGAAAGGACGAGAAAGAGGUCGAGUAGCUAGACCUAAUUUCCUGACAAGAGUAUCACUAGCAACGUUAGUACAACUCCCACCAUCAAUGAUCAAGGAACAAACUUUUUCAGAGAUUAAACAACGAGAAUGAAAGAGAUUCUCCCUUUGUUCCUUUUCAUCGGUUUUGGGCUGAACACUCAAGGAACGUCUAGUGACCAGUAGUGGUCCAUGAGCUGGAUAGUCAAAGCUAUCUUCAUCAUCAAAGAUCGGCUCAGAAUCUGGAUCAAAGGACGGGUCAUGGUCUUUGUCCGUGUGGCCGUUCGCGGGGCCGUCCGUUUUAUCGAAGAUGGGAUCGUUCCAUGCUUGCCUAGCCACAAGUAAUGGUCCGUGAUGUGGGUAGUCAAAAGACUCCUCUUCCUCAUCAAAGAUAGGACCAAGAUCCUCCUUGUCUUCUUGUUCAUCCUCGGACUCAACUUCACCAUUUUCCAAGAGAAUCAUCACACGCUGGUUUGGACAGUUCUUGGCAUAAUGUCCUAGCCCUUGACAUUUGAAACAUCUAAUGUGUCUUGCUCGGCUUGAGUCGUCUACUGCUUUUCCUUUGUCAUCACGAGUGGAAACAUUAGUUUUAAAGGCAGUAUGUGUUGUGAUAGGAGACUUACCUUUGUCUUGAUAGCUUGGCUUAGGAGCAUAGGCCGGUUUAGGAGAGUAGGCCGGCUUAGAAGUAGUGACCGGUUUUGAGAAACUCCUUCUCUUGAGUUGUUGCUCGAUCAAGAUGGCUUUGUGUAGCAUCUGUUCCACACUUCCAUACUCUUGAAGCUCCAUACGAUCUUGGAUGUCACGGUUGAGACCUGAAAGAAAGCGAGCCAUAGUGGCGUCCAAAGGUUCAUCCGUGUCUGUUUUGGUCAUCAAAACUUCCAUCUCUUGAUAAUAGUCUUCCACAGAUUUGGUUCCUUGAAGCAAACGUCUUAGCUUCUGGUGAAGGUCACGGUGAUAAUGGGUUGGCACGAAUCGUUUCCUCAUCAACAAGGUAAGCUCAUCCCAUGUCUCAAUCGGCCGCUCACCUGUUCUCCUCCUGUGGGUCAACACUUGAUCAUACCAGUUAAUAGCAUAGCCAGAGAAUUCAGUGGCCGCAAGCCUUACUUUUCUAAGUUCAGAAUAGUUUUGACAAUCAAAGACAUGCUCAAUUUUUCUUUCCCACUCUAGAAAAGCAUCAGGGUUAUUUUUACCAUCAAAAGGUGGAAUUUUUAAUUUCAAUCCGUUCAAACUAUCAUCAGUACGAUUGUUUCUAGCAAAUGGAUUGACAUCACCUGGGUUUCGAGUUCUAUGACCUCUUCUAGGCCGGUAAGCGGAUCUGACCUCGUCCUCUUCGGCGUCCUCAUCAGGAAACUCAUCAUCUGACCUGGUAUUCCUUCGCGGCUGAUGGUUCUUGUCCUUGAUCUCGGAUGGGACUGACUUACUUGAAGUUUGUCAAGCCUUUGAUGGAUCUGCUCUAGACCUGUGUUUAUAAGGUUAGAAAAAGAAUCAUUCAAAGCUCGCAUCUGAAGAUUAGACAGUCCAGCAACUGAAUUUCCGGGACGGUUUUGUUCUUCAUGGCUACUCAUGGUUCCUGAAAUUUUCUUAAACACAAAACGUUAGGAUUAAAAACUCACACUCUCAAGUGUUUGUUCCUCACCCACACACGUGUUUCUCUCGAUUUAAAAGUGAUCACUCAAGUUUCCACUCAAAGUUCUAUGAAGAACAGAUCUCGGAAUCUGGAUGGCCAAACUUAAGCAAAACACACAGGAACUUUAAAGAUAGAAAGAUAAGAGAUUUGUUUUGAAAGAAUCCGUUUUAACCUCCUCAAAGGCUGGAUUUCUCCUCAGCCAGCAGGCUUCCUCUUCCACCACCAAUCCACAAAGAAAACUCUUUCUUUUUUUUUCUUUUUUUUUUUUUUUUUUUUUUAUAAUUUGGUUUUUUUUUUUUUUUUUUUUUUUUUUUUUUUUUUUUUUUUUUUUUUUUUUUUUUUUUUUUUUUUUUUUUUUUUUUUUUUUUUUUUUUUUUUUUUUUUUUUUUUUUUUUUUUUUUUUUUUUUUUUUUUUUUUUUUUUUUUUUUUUUUUUUUUUUUUAUAAUAUGGAUCUUGCUUGUUUAUUUUUUUUUUUUUAUAAGUGGAUGGUAUUGAGGGGCCCGGAUUCAAGAUAGACAGAUGAAGAAGUGUUUAGAAGAAAAUGGAAGAUGAGAAGAUGGAUCGAGAUAGAGAAUACCAGAAGAGUGGCUCUGAUACCACUUGAAGGACCCUAAGAUCGGAUUGCCCUCGACUGGAUUCGUUUGGAUAUGAACUCCGGAAAGGAGAACUGAUGGAACGUUGGGUCGCACAAGGGUUGCGGAUGUUCCCUUGAUAUUCCCGACUUCAAUGGCGCUUGAUAUGACUCACAAGUCCGCCAAGGAAGAUCUCGAACAGGUUGCUUGAUAUGACUCACAAGACCAACUAGUUGAGAAGUGAAUUGCUCGGAUAUGACUCACCAAGACAAUCGAAAACAAGUUCUAAAGAGAACAGAGAGUUUAAACUCAGAAACUUAAUCCAAAAUGAUCUGAUUUUAUUAAUGAAAUGAAAUACUUAUUUAUAGUACAAGUAGGAGACAAAGGGGCUACUUGACUAGAAGUUUGAAAGACAAAUAAAAUUAAAGACUUUUGACUAGAAUUUUGAAAGACAAAGAAGAAAGACUCUUCAAUUUGCGGACUGGUCAAAGUGACCCUUCGGCUGGUUGAACCGCGGCCAGGAGCAGGACUGUCGCGGGCCGGUCCGUCUGUUCCGUCUUGUCCGUCUCCUGAACCAUCUUCGACCAUAGUCGUCCCAAGUCUACUGAAAGAAGAAGAAUCUGUGCCUUAGAGAGAUCCGGAUGAUCAAAGUGCAUGAACUGAUCAAAUGGGUCGAUCAGUUCGUCAAUACGGUCGGUACGUUCCAAACGUGCGACAAGAGAGAAGUCGCGUCCAGUUCCUAGUUCGGCUCGGCCUAAGUUGCUUCUGGGUUGACCGUCAGUCUGAGAUUGGCGAGUUGUCCGAGAGAGAGACGAUCCAGUACAGUCAGUUCGGCUGAUAGGUCGAGGAUCUAGUCUAAGCUCCUUCCCGUCCAUCCGUGGAUUGAUCCGGUACACAGCUCGACCUCGGUUGGGGUGAUGAACCUCGGUUGGAAUGUCCUGACCUUCCUGAUGGUCGAGUUCCUCGGACUGAGGCACAUCAC
rnacentral:lncRNA from 1 species